AAUAGAUACCCAGGUAGUCCACCCCGUAAACGUUGGGAACUAGUUGUGGGGUCCUUUCCACGGAUUCCGUGACGCAGCUAACGCAUUAAGUUCCCCGCCUGGGGAGUACGGCCGCAAGGCUAAAACUCAAAGGAAUUGACGGGGACCCGCACAAGCGGCGGAGCAUGCGGAUUAAUUCGAUGCAACGCGAAGAACCUUACCAAGGCUUGACAUACACCAGAACACCCUAGAAAUAGGGGACUCUUUGGACACUGGUGAACAGGUGGUGCAUGGUUGUCGUCAGCUCGUGUCGUGAGAUGUUGGGUUAAGUCCCGCAACGAGCGCAACCCUCGUUCUAUGUUGCCAGCACGUAAUGGUGGGAACUCAUGGGAUACUGCCGGGGUCAACUCGGAGGAAGGUGGGGAUGACGUCAAAUCAUCAUGCCCCUUAUGUCUUGGGCUUCACGCAUGCUACAAUGGCCGGUACAAAGGGCUGCAAUACCGUGAGGUGGAGCGAAUCCCUUAAAGCCGGUCUCAGUUCGGAUCGGGGUCUGCAACUCGA
rnacentral:rRNA from 1 species